UACAGAGGGGGCGAGCGUUGUUCGGAAUUACUGGGCGUAAAGGGCGCGUAGGCGGCCCGCUAAGUCGAACGUGAAAUCCCCAGGCUCAACCUGGGAACUGCGUCCGAUACUGGCAGGCUUGAAUCCGGGAGAGGGAUGUGGAAUUCCAGGUGUAGCGGUGAAAUGCGUAGAUAUCUGGAGGAACACCGGUGGCGAAGGCGGCAUCCUGGACCGGUAUUGACGCUGAGGUGCGAAAGCUAGGGGAGCAAACGGG
rnacentral:rRNA from 1 species